GGCGAACGGGUGAGUAACGCGUUGGUAACCUGCCCCGAAGCGUGGGAUAACGGUCCGAAAGGACCACUAAUACCACAUGUGAUCCCGAGGAAUAGAUACUUGGGAUGAAAGGAGCAAUUCGCUUCGGGAGGGACCUGCGUCCCAUCAGCUAGUUGGUAGGGUAACGGCCUACCAAGGCGAUGACGGGUAGGGGACCUGAGAGGGUGGCCCCCCACAAUGGAACUGAAGCACGGUCCAUACACCUACGGGUGGCAGCAGUAGGGAAUAUUGGUUAAUGUGCGAAAGCGCGAACCAGCAACGCCGCGUGUGCGAUGAAGGCCUUCGGGUCGUAAAGCACUUUUUGCAGGGAAGAGGAAGGACGGUACCUGCAGAAUAAGUCUCGGCUAACUACGUGCCAGCAGCCGCGGUAAAACGUAGGAGGCAAGCGUUAUCCGGAUUUACUGGGCGUAAAGCGCACGCAGGCGGCUGCGUAAGUCGGACGUGAAAGCUCCUGGCUCAACUGGGAGAGGUCGUUCGAAACUGCGCGGCUUGAGGUUGGAAGAGGAGAGCGGAAUUCCCGGUGUAGAGGUGGAAUGCGUAGAUAUCGGGAGGAACACCAGUGGCGAAAGCGGCUCUCUGGUCCACACCUGACGCUCAGGUGCGAAAGCGUGGGUAGCGAACGGGAUUAGAUACCCCGGUAGUCCACGCUGUAAACGAUGCGAACUAGGUGUUGGUAGUAUUAAACCUAUCAGUGCCGAAGCUAACGCGAUAAGUUCGCCGCCUGGGGACUACGGCCGCAAGGUUAAACUCAAAGGAAUUGA
rnacentral:rRNA from 1 species